GGAAGUAAAAGUCGUAACAAGGUUUCCGUAGGUGAACCUGCGGAAGGAUCAUUAUUGAAUAAACCUGAUGUAGUUGUAGCUGGCUCUCUCGGGAGCAUGUGCUCGCUCGUCAUCUUUAUAUUUCCACCUGUGCACCUUUUGUAGACCCAGGCGACUUGAGCAAUCAAGUCAUUUGGGCCUAUGUUUUAUCAUAUACCCCAUAGUAUGUAUCAGAAUGUAUCAAUGGGCUUCGUGCCUAUAAACACUAUACAACUUUCAGCAACGGAUCUCUUGGCUCUCGCAUCGAUGAAGAACGCAGCGAAAUGCGAUAAGUAAUGUGAAUUGCAGAAUUCAGUGAAUCAUCGAAUCUUUGAACGCACCUUGCGCUCCUUGGUAUUCCGAGGAGCAUGCCUGUUUGAGUGUCAUUAAAUUCUCAACCUCUCUAGUUUUUUGACUAGUAGAUGGCUUGGAUGUGGGGGUUUUUUGCAGGCUUUCACAAGUCAGCUCCCCUUAAAUGUAUUAGCCGGUGCCCUCUAACCGUCUAUUGGUGUGAUAAUUAUCUACGCCGUGGACUAUUAGACUUGGUUGUACUGCUUAUAACCGUCCUGUACUGGACAAUCUAUGACAUUUUGACCUCAAAUCAGGUAGGACUACCCGCUGAACUU
rnacentral:rRNA from 1 species